AGUGGCAGCAAAAACUCUCCUGUCCUGUUAGUAGUGUCCUGAGGACUGUCUGGGACAGUCAGACACUGUCCUGUGACUGCCAUGACUGUCUCGGGACAGUCAGACACUGUCCUGUACGCUUUCCUGUGACUCUAGCACACUGUCCUGUGACUUCGUGAC